GGCGUCCCGUUUCGUGAGUGUUUCUUCGUUUCUUUAAGAGCUACCAGAAAGCAGCCCACCCCCACCCCCAUUAAAAAAAAAAAUAAGCGAGUGGGGAAGAGCCAGCCCCACGCCGGUCCGCCUCCCGCCCACGGCUCGGCCUCCCUCCCGCCUGGCUCGGCGCUCCUCCGCCCCGAGUUCUCCAUCCCCUGGAUCCCGGGCUCGCGGGGGCGCGGAGAAGAGGAUCCAGGAAAGCGACAACCACAAAGCUCCCUCUUGCCUGGAAAAAUCUCCCUCUUGCCGGGAAGCAGAAAGAAGAUUCUUCGGUGUGCCCACUCAGCUGGGUCAGUGACGUCCCCUCGGUGAGAAAGUUCUUCCUGGGUUUGGGCACAGUUUGCUCUGCCCACAGGUGGGCAGAUGCUCCUAAGCCCUUCACCUUGUGCUGGACAGCGGGCAGGCUCCACUGCACAGGGCGGGGUUUGGGUUUCUUUCUCAUCACUGAGCCCAGCCUCCAUUUUUUUUUUUUUUUUUUUUAAGGAGGAUGUGAUUUCUACUUUGUUUCUCUUUUUUUGUUACUUCAAAUUGACAUCCUGACCUUGGGCAGAGUAUAGCAGGGAGCUUCCUUUUAUUCUUAUCUUUUUGUUUUGUGUUUUUGUUGUAAACUGUCUAAAACUGUUGGAGAGUUUAAUUUGGAAACAAUGAAGCCAGAUACCACAACACAAGUUUACCCUCAAGACUCUGAGCUCUUAAAAUGCGUAAGAAGGCCCACACCAGGCAUAUUGGACCUUGCCCAUCUACACCUCAGCCCCACAGAGCAAGGUCAGACGCCCACUGGUUUGGACUCCCAUAGGUGGAUGGGGUGGUGGUGUUGAGGCGGAAAGGAAUUAGGGAGAAGAGCAGAGCAGUUUCCAUAAGCAGAAUUUGGGGCUGAGCUUAAGCCACCGCAGCAAGGGGAAGAUGAGCCUGGUGGUUCCAGACAUGUUUUUUUCCCGAAUACUGAGUUAAAACUUUCUAUAUCAGUGAAAUCUAACACUCUGGACACCUUAUUAAAUUGUUGUGUAAAACUAUGGCGAUGGGUUCUGUGAAUUAAAAAAAAAAAU
rnacentral:lncRNA from 1 species